UGACUGCGUACCUUUUGUAUAAUGGGUCAGCGACUUAUAUUCUGUAGCAAGGUUAACCGUAUAGGGGAGCCGGAGGGAAACCGAGUCUUAACCGGGCGUUAAGUUGCAGGGUAUAGACCCGAAACCCGGUGAUCUAGCCAUGGGCAGGUUGAAGGUUGGGUAACACUAACUGGAGGACCGAACCGACUAAUGUUGAAAAAUUAGCGGAUGACCUGUGGCUGGGGGUGAAAGGCCAAUCAAACCGGGAGAUAGCUGGUUCUCCCCGAAAGCUAUUUAGGUAGCGCCUCGUGAAUUCAUCUCCGGGGGUAGAGCACUGUUUCGGCUAGGGGGCCAUCCCGGCUUACCAACCCGAUGCAAACUGCGAAUACCGGAGAAUGUUAUCACGGGAGACACACGGCGGGUGCUAACGUCCGUCGUGAAGAGGGAAACAACCCAGACCGCCAGCUAAGGUCCCAAAGUCAUGGUUAAGUGGGAAACGAUGUGGGAAGGCCCAGACAGCCAGGAUGUUGGCUUAGAAGCAGCCAUCAUUUAAAGAAAGCGUAAUAGCUCACUGGUCGAGUCGGCCUGCGCGGAAGAUGUAACGGGGCUAAACCAUGCACCGAAGCUGCGGCAGCGAACGUAUCACCCAAGACAACUUUACGGAGUUGACGAUUGACGGAGCGAAGCGACGUCAAAGCGUUCAUUAAAGUCGAGUUGGCUUAGGGAUACGUUCGUUGGGUAGGGGAGCGUUCUGUAAGCCUGUGAAGGUGUGUCGUGAGGCAUGCUGGAGGUAUCAGAAGUGCGAAUGCUGACAUAAGUAACGAUAAAGCGGGUGAAAAGCCCGCUCGCCGGAAGACCAAGGGUUCCUGUCCAACGUUAAUCGGGGCAGGGUGAGUCGACCCCUAAGGCGAGGCCGAAAGGCGUAGUCGAUGGGAAACGGGUUAAUAUUCCCGUACUUGGUGUUACUGCGAAGGGGGGACGGAGAAGGCUAUGUUGGCCGGGCGACGGUUGUCCCGGUUUAAGCGUGUAGGUGUGUGUUCCAGGUAAAUCCGGUUCACUUUAACACUGAGGCGUGACGACGAGGCACUACGGUGCUGAAGCAACAAAUGCCCUGCUUCCAGGAAAAGCCUCUAAGCAUCAGGUAACAUCAAAUCGUACCCCAAACCGACACAGGUGGUCAGGUAGAGAAUACCAAGGCGCUUGAGAGAACUCGGGUGAAGGAACUAGGCAAAAUGGUGCCGUAACUUCGGGAGAAGGCACGCUGACACGUAGGUGAAGUGAUUUACUCAUGGAGCUGAAGUCAGUCGAAGAUACCAGCUGGCUGCAACUGUUUAUUAAAAACACAGCACUGUGCAAACACGAAAGUGGACGUAUACGGUGUGACGCCUGCCCGGUGCCGGAAGGUUAAUUGAUGGGGUCAGCGCAAGCGAAGCUCCUGAUCGAAGCCCCGGUAAACGGCGGCCGUAACUAUAACGGUCCUAAGGUAGCGAAAUUCCUUGUCGGGUAAGUUCCGACCUGCACGAAUGGCGUAAUGAUGGCCAGGCUGUCUCCACCCGAGACUCAGUGAAAUUGAACUCGCUGUGAAGAUGCAGUGUACCCGCGGCAAGACGGAAAGACCCCGUGAACCUUUACUAUAGCUUGACACUGAACAUUGAGCCUUGAUGUGUAGGAUAGGUGGGAGGCUUUGAAGUGUGGACGCCAGUCUGCAUGGAGCCGACCUUGAAAUACCACCCUUUAAUGUUUGAUGUUCUAACGUGGACCCGUAAUCCGGGUUGCGGACAGUGUCUGGUGGGUAGUUUGACUGGGGCGGUCUCCUCCUAAAGAGUAACGGAGGAGCACGAAGGUUGGCUAAUCCUGGUCGGACAUCAGGAGGUUAGUGCAAUGGCAUAAGCCAGCUUGACUGCGAGCGUGACGGCGCGAGCAGGUGCGAAAGCAGGUCAUAGUGAUCCGGUGGUUCUGAAUGGAAGGGCCAUCGCUCAACGGAUAAAAGGUACUCCGGGGAUAACAGGCUGAUACCGCCCAAGAGUUCAUAUCGACGGCGGUGUUUGGCACCUCGAUGUCGGCUCAUCACAUCCUGGGGCUGAAGUAGGUCCCAAGGGUAUGGCUGUUCGCCAUUUAAAGUGGUACGCGAGCUGGGUUUAGAACGUCGUGAGACAGUUCGGUCCCUAUCUGCCGUGGGCGCUGGAGAACUGAGGGGGGCUGCUCCUAGUACGAGAGGACCGGAGUGGACGCAUCACUGGUGUUCGGGUUGUCAUGCCAAUGGCACUGCCCGGUAGCUAAAUGCGGAAGAGAUAAGUGCUGAAAGCAUCUAAGCACGAAACUUGCCCCGAGAUGAGUUCU
rnacentral:rRNA from 1 species